rnacentral:rRNA from 1 species
UACGUAGGGCGCAAGCGUUGUCCGGAAUUAUUGGGCGUAAAGAGCUUGUAGGUGGCUUGUCGCGUCUGCCGUGAAAACCCGAGGCUCAACCUCGGGCGUGCGGUGGGUACGGGCAGGCUAGAGUGUGGUAGGGGAGACUGGAACUCCUGGUGUAGCGGUGAAAUGCGCAGAUAUCAGGAAGAACACCGAUGGCGAAGGCAGGUCUCUGGGCCAUUACUGACACUGAGAAGCGAAAGCAUGGGUAGCGAACAGGAUUAGAUACCCCCGUA